UACGUAGGCAGCAAGCGUUGUUCGGAUUCAUUGGGCGUAAAGGGUGCGUAGGUGGCGCCAUAAGUCAGGUGUGAAAUCUCGGGGCUCAACCCCGAAACUGCAUUUGAUACUGUGGUGCUCGAGUACUGGAGAGGAGAUUGGAAUUUACGGUGUAGCAGUGAAAUGCGUAGAUAUCGUAAGGAAGACCAGUGGCGAAGGCGAAUCUCUGGACAGUUACUGACACUGAGGCACGAAGGCCAGGGGAGCAAACGGG
rnacentral:rRNA from 1 species